rnacentral:rRNA from 1 species
UACGUAGGGGGCAAGCGUUGUCCGGAUUUAUUGGGCGUAAAGAGCGUGUAGGCGGUUUGGUAGGUCCGUUGUGAAAACUCGAGGCUCAACCUCGAGACGCCGAUGGAAACCAUUAGACUAGAGUCCGGAAGAGGAGAGUGGAAUUCCUGGUGUAGCGGUGAAAUGCGCAGAUAUCAGGAAGAACACCCGUGGCUAAGGCGGCUCUCUAGUACGGUACUGACGCUGAGACGCGAAAGCGUGGGGAGCGAACAGG